AUUGAACGCUGGCGGCAGGCCUAACACAUGCAAGUCGAGCGGCAGCGGGUCCUUCGGGAUGCCGGCGAGCGGCGGACGGGUGAGUAAUGCCUAGGAAUCUGCCUGGUAGUGGGGGAUAACUCGGGGAAACUCGAGCUAAUACCGCAUACGUCCUACGGGAGAAAGCGGGGGAUCUUCGGACCUCGCGCUACCAGAUGAGCCUAGGUCGGAUUAGCUAGUUGGUGAGGUAAAGGCUCACCAAGGCGACGAUCCGUAGCUGGUCUGAGAGGAUGAUCAGCCACACUGGAACUGAGACACGGUCCAG
rnacentral:rRNA from 1 species